rnacentral:lncRNA from 1 species
GUCUGAGAGAUCGUGGAUCGAGGUGAUGUCGACCUUCAGAAGAUCGAUGGAAAGGAGAACCUGGCCGACCCCUUCACUAAAGCCCUGGCGAUAAAGGAGUUCGACAACCACAAGUCAAAGAUGGGUAUUAGAUACUGUACCGAGUGGCUUUAGGACAAGUGGGAGUUGUUGGAAAAUGUGUCCCAAAAAGCCAAUCGUCAAGCUAUUGACGGUUGAGCAACCAAGUAUUGUAAUUG